rnacentral:tRNA from 1 species
GGGUGUGCAGCUUUGUGGCCAUAGUUUUGCAAAAACUAAUGAGGGUUCCUACGAACUCCGCACCCU